rnacentral:misc_RNA from 1 species
GAUGAAGAACGUAGCGAAAUGCGAUACGUAAUGUGAAUUGCAAAUUCAGUGAAUCAUCGAAUCUUUGAACGCACAUUGCGCCCGCCAGUAUUCUGGCGAGCAUGCCUGUUCGAGCGUCAUUUCAACCAUCAAGCCCCAGGCUUGUGUUGGAGCCCUGCGGCUGCCGCAGCCUCCCAAAACCAGUGGCGGGCUCGCUAUCACACCGAGUGCAGUAGUUUACUCUUCGCUCAGGGCGUGUGGCGGGUGCUAGCCGUGAAACCCCCCACUUCUCAAGGUUGACCUCGGAUCAGGUAGGAAUACCCGCUGAACUUAAGCAUAUCAAUAAGCGGAGGA